AUUUAUAGAUUAUAUAGAUUUCUUUUAGGCACAGUUUCUUAAUCUGAAGUUUCUAAUUAAUCUGAUUGCAAAUUUAUCAUGUAUAAUACAAGAAUGAAUAAUAAUAAUAAAAAUCCUCCACUGAACACUGAUAAAAAAAACAUUUGUCACCUGUCUUCACUUGGUAAUCUCACACUUUACAAUGAAAUAUAAUGAAUAAAAUUGUGAAGAUUCUUUGGGAUUUUGGUGCCACUGUAUGUCCUAUGUUAUGAAGAAUAGCAAUUUAUGCCAACCUAUAAAGGAAGAAUUUCAGAGACAGCUAAACUUGAUAAUCCAGUAGACUCGGUUCAAUUGAGGUCCAAGAUUCCAAAAUUUGUUACAUUUUCAGCUGCUGUGGUUUGGUUUCACACUGCACUGUGUGAAAUGAACCAAACCCUGUUAAAAACCUGUUCACCCUCUUGCCUGUGGUGGCACUGUACCAAGAACCACCGAACCACUGCAAACAAGAUAUUUCAAAAUUACAACUCACUCCAUAAGAUUAGGUAACAAAAAAAGACAGCUUUAUGGUCAUUUCUGCUAUCUUAGUGAAUCCACAAUCAAUUCUACAGCAACACUGUUUAAUAUUUAAUGUGUUUGUCCAAUAUUAGGGUGGACCUUUCUAUAAAGCAAAACAUAAAAAACCCAAUAUAAAAAAGAAAGGUACAGCUAUAACAUGUACAAACAAACAUACAAUUUCCUGCAGUUCUUAAAUCUAAGGGAGGAAAGAUCCAGUUAUGAUGUCAAACUGUCAUCUAUUGAAUUAAUUCCUUAGCGAUUAAGAACAGACUGUGAGGUUUGUCUUUUCUUCAGAUCUUAUUGCUUGAUUUUGGGCCUCUGUUUGAUCAUUAUUCUGCCAUCCCAAUGGACAUGUCUUUCUUCAUCUGAAAAAGAUUGAUAAAAUAAUGGAAAAUCUGUUGGAUUAUUCAGUCUUUGUACUCAAAGGGGGCAUUGCUUUUCAAAUAUAAUGUAUUGGUCUUUUUCUUCAGUCUCACUGUUUUAUUACUACAAAAUUUGAAAAUUGAGUAGAGGAUCUAUGAAUGAGCUGGGGACAUAAGCUUUCUGCAACACAAUAAACAUCAUGUAGACAAAACAUAAUGAAACUACAACGACAUUAACUUGCAGACAAGCAUCUAAUCUGAUAAUUACACCAGAAAUAUCAAAGAAUAUGCCUUUACCCAGUAGCCCUGUCAUACACAAUGACCCAGUAACAGCAUAACUAAAUGCUCAUGGUAUGCUAUGCUAAUACUUUGCUGCAAUUAUGAAGAUUCACUCAUCUCAAAAAAACAAAUGUUCUUCAUUUGGGGGAUAGUCCAAUUGAUUUUCUUAAUAAUUAAUUAAGCAAAUAGUUAUUAGACAAUUUUGAGGCAAUUGUUUAGACUACUUUGUCUAAGCAAUUGGAUUUCCACUCCCAAAUGGUCAGACAGUCAUUAAAUACAGAAAAAAAGCAAGACAUUGCCAUCUGGCAAAAUAAACAUUUUCUUAGUCCAGUGCCUGAAUGCACAUUGGAUACCCUUCAUCUUAAUACACACAAAACCAAUGGAAAAGCAUCAUAUGUCAUAAACAUCCUUAAAGGUGUGACCAAGCUUCAUGUUUCAUAAAAGGCAAGUUUAAUUUCUUAACAUUUAAACCCAAGCAAAAACACAUUUUGGAUACAAUGUGUGAAUUAAAAUGAGGCAGCAGCUUACACAUUUUGCAAACUGGACAGACAGAAAGAAACAUUGGCAUGACAGAGUUAUUUUGAGCAUGUUUGGAUAUAAUUUACCAUCUAAGAAAUGUUUUUUGAAGGGUACACUCCAAAUGAUUACUUCUUGUGUUUUGCUUGUUUUCUUUGUUCUUAUCUCUGUUCAAGUUAUAAAGCCUUCAGCUUGCCUUGCUGCCCAACAAUCAGCUAGUAAUAUAAAACAACAUGAAACAUAGUGAAUUAGAGCUUCAGUUUAACACAGUAUCCACGCUUAACUAUUUUUUUUAUCAAUUCAUCUAUGUUCUUCCUUUUCACAAGUUUUGAGCUUCUCUGCUCAGCUUUCUACAUCACAAUACAAAUUUUGUGGAAUCCAUUUGGAUUUCAGAUUUUUUUAUUUGCUGUACUUGCUUUCAGGCGAGGCACACUCUUUUGUUUGGACAGAUGGCAGCCCUAACUAAGUACGGUUCUGCUGGAGGUCGCUUCCUGUUAAAAAAGUAUUUUUCUGCUUCAGUGAAGCCUGUCACCCUAUACAUGCAAAGGAUACUUGACUGAAUCCCAAUGAAGAUUUUAUACAACCUUGCUUUCUUAGUCAACAUUUUCUUCAACACAUUUUAGCAUUUGCACACCGGACUUUAAUUUAACUGCCUCUUAAUAUGACUUCUUGUGAAUUUUUAUAAUACAGUAUAAAUAAACUGAUCAAACUACAUACAAUUUAUGUCUAUAUCAGUGAAGUAAUAUCAAUUCAAUAAUGUCUCGUGUUUAAAUUUUAAUUAUUUCCAACCAUAGAUAAACAACAGAAUUGGUUGUUGAGGCUUAAAAGCUGUUAGAAACUUCAAGAUAUCUAAGGAGCCUGACGAGAAUCUGUAUCCAGCUCCAAAAGCACAACUAGUUUGCAGAAAACAUUGAGACAUUCAUUGCGUACUGAGGAUUUUGAGAGCAUUAACUUGGUUGUAAGUAUGGGAAAACCCAUUUGAGUGUUGGCUUUAAAUUUUUAGCAGCUGAAAUUAUUUAGCCACAUUUUUAGUGUUUCAACUUUUUAGCACUCAUCAGAGCAAAACAGGCAGCGAAACGUUGUGCAAAAGGGUGAACAAAAUUUUAUUGCCUUUCAUUUUCUUUUAUUCAUGCUAGCUGCCUCAGUUUUAAAUUAAUUAGGGAUAAUUGUAAUCUUGCUUUUAAAGUAUUUUAUUUAUACAAAAGAUUUCUUUAUACCAAAGCUGAUGUCAAAAGUUAUUUAUAAAUUAAACCUUUAUAGUUUACUACUUGGCGUUAUUGUAGUUUUCACACCUUUUCUGUCUUACAAGAUAUGGAAAAAACUUCAAAAGUUUUGCUUAGUUUAUUGCAGCCUCUUUAUUAUUUACAGUUUAGAAAAUCUCUUUCAAAGCCUUUAGUUGCAAUGUAACUGUGUCCCCAUAACUUGUUCAUCCAACCGGUUCAUUUUUUCCAAUUUGUUCCUUUUAUUUAUUAACAAAUCAAUUCGAAAAUUUCAGUGCUUACAUUGUCUAUAGCAAUGUUUGGAUGUUUACAGCUUAUGUCCGUUUACUGUGUAAGUGUACAGCUGUAGUUCUAUAAAUUGAGGUGCACAGGUUUUUCUUCCUUGAAAUUGAGCCAUAAAUAAAAUUUUCUCCUUCAGAUGCGGAGAAUAAAACAGCAACUGGAAGUGUUUCAGUAGCUGUCAUACACCCAGUACAAAUGCACUGGACUCUGACACUGCAAUGUGCUUGCUAGACAACCGCAUAACUAAGAUCUAUUAUAUACAAUAUUGAAAAAAAAAAAAAUAUAUAUAUAUAUAUAUUGUUCCUUUUUUUGUUAAAAAUGUUUCCAUGCUUGCCUUAUAAUAGUCCUUAAGUACAAAGACAAAAAAUAAAUUUUACAGUCAAGUUUUGGAAUUAAGUCUUAACUUUAAAACAAAUUAACAAACGGACAAAGCAAAAGUAUUUAGACAACUUCAAAGCAAUGGAUCCUUCACAUUUGCGAUACAUUCUUUGGAUGAUAUCUGCAAAUUAUAAAUAAUAUUAUGUCACUUUAACUGUCCACAGAAAACCAUUUUUUGUUUCUGUGCUUCUGUGGCCAGAGGGCUGCUGCCGACCUACCUGUGUUAGGCAGAUAGCUGCUCUGGGAGGUGCUUGGUGGCUUUCUGCUGGGGAACGCUAUGGCUUCUGGGGGGUGACCCUCAUCCUAAUGCCUACUGUUCUUGGGUUCAAAAUGUCAUGAGCUUCAUACCGUUCUCAACAUUAUAGCACAGUCUCAAUUCCAAGUGGCAAAUUAGCACACUUAUCCAUUACACAUGCACAAACACACACAGAAAUGUAAAUGUUGACAUAUACAUAAUCCCAAAGGCCAAAGGUCAUACCAACAGAGGUUCACAUUUCAUUAUGCAACUUGUCUACAUUGAUGUCAGUGGCACCCCGAUUUAAUAAAGUUAAUCACUCAAUUAGAUACCAUCCUCAUAUUCUUUUUGUAGAGCAAAGAUGCCCUCAAACAUGUUAGCAAAAAGCUCCUUCCUAUGGUAUGCCUGGAAUAAAAAUAAAUAAAUAAAUGCUCCUCUAAUUCAACUCACCUGAAUCAAAUUAAUGGUUCAUUAGCAGGUCUCUGCAGACUUGGAGACAUGCUAAGGGGGUAAUUCAGUCAUUUGAAUCAGCUGCCUUGGAGCAAGGACGCAUGUAAGACCGGCAGGACACACCUGCUCUAGAUAGAUGAAAAGAAGACAAAAGAGUAUGCACAAAGCUAGUAGAAAGCAAACAACUGCUGUUUUCAAUAGAAAGAAGAAUUGGUAUCUUCUUUGCUUGCCCAGAAGAGGCAACAUGCUGAGCUUUAGAACUAGUUGUGCUCGACAUAAAUGCUGGGCUCUGUAAGAUGCUGACAGUUUGAUUUGCAAAGUUAAAAUCUUGAUUUAACAAGCCUGACUGCAAGCGAACAAAUGAUCUCAUUCAAAACUGACAGACAGCUCAGAAAAUUGGAAUCAAUUGAAAUUUACAAGCUCAGUCACAUGUAUCAACAUAGAAAUACCAGGAAAUGCUAUCAAGGUUGCUGUGCCAUUUGGAGGUCAACUGAACAUACAGGAAACAAAGUGUUUCCUGCGUGUUGCCACUGGUUGUACUAUGCACUGUUCUAACAUGCAUACAUCACUUACUGUGGCUGACUGCUGAUGCCAGCUUCACAUGUUUAUUACAUGAAUAACAGACUGCUUGCAGCUGCUCCUUCUGAUAAAAGAACUCUGUGAAAUAGGGUUUUUUGAUAAGUACACAAUACUGAACUGAAAGGCUCAGGCUGAAAUUGUUUGUUUUUAUGCUUAUUUAUUCAUUUGGAAUAAUUUACAUAUGCAUUCUUUUUUCUCAACCCAUUCCUUUCACCUACUGUCUUUUCUUUUUUUUAUCAUUGCACUAUGAUGUAAAUUACAUGCCAUAAUUUUUCUAUUUGCAGAGAUGAAUGCUUGUCAGUUUGAUGGUUACAUCAUCUCUCUGUUACAUUAUGUUCUGAGAACACAACCAGAGAAAAAACCCUUAACUGUGUGUAGUCAUCCGGGGAGCGCGCCAUCGCCCAUUACCCCCAGUAAGCCCCCCAAACUCUGGUCUGAAAGCGCUGCAGACUUUUAGUGUCAAAUCCAGGAAAGCUGCUGUCACUCCUGUCAAUUCACAAGGCAGCUACCUACUCUCAAGGUAAACAAAUUAUCCCUGAAUAUAAACACUGUAGACUGUCUGUGCACUAUACAUUUAGUGGAAGACUUAAACUCUAAAGCAUUGCCACAGAGGCUUAAAAAUGUCAUAGAGUUAUGAGAUGCUUUUUAUAAGAACAGCCACCCGCAGAAUGUUUUAAGCUUUAUUUUUCCUAAUGCUGUCCUAUCACAUGCAUAUUAAAGCAAUCAUUGCUAAUGUCACAGCAUGGGAUAAUUUCACCCCUUUUCACCUGAAAAUUGUAUUAAGGAAUAUCUAUAUUCUUGAAUACCUAAAAGUUGACAACAUUAAGUAUGAUAUAAAACUUGCUUAAAAACAUUUGUGCUGUCAAAGUCACAUUUGGAAUGGUGAAUCUCUUAGCUGCUAAGACUUCAGUAGUGGAAUGUUAAGCUAUUUUUGGUCAACCAGUUCUUAUCUUUAUUCAUCAAAGAUAAGAAACUUUAAAAAUCUCACUGUUUGGCCAAAAAAGGAGAUUGAAAUGGUUCCUUGUUCAGUCGCUUUGAUCAAAUCUAUUU